GAUAAUAAAAUAAGGAAAUACGAAAAAUAAAAUAAAAUAAAAACAGAUUCGAAAAUGCAAAAAUAAAUUUAAGAAAAUAAAAUAAAUGGAUAAAUAAAAUAUUAGUUAAGCUUAGCCUUAGCCUCAGUCUACUCCAAUCUUGAAUCGAUUCUUGAAAUAGAUUUUCCUUUCCAAGCGAUAAGCUAGUUAUAGCAAUCGAGGAUCCCUCAAACC
rnacentral:lncRNA from 1 species